rnacentral:piRNA from 1 species
UGAGAUGAAAGGUGCAAAGCGCCAUGCCUG